rnacentral:rRNA from 1 species
CCUACGGGAGGCAGCAGUGGGGAAUCUUGCACAAUGGAGGAAACUCUGAUGCAGCGAUGCCGCGUGAGUGAAGAAGGCCUUUGGGUUGUAAAGCUCUUUUGUAGGGGAAGAUAAUGACUGUACCCUAAGAAUAAGGUCCGGCUAACUUCGUGCCAGCAGCCGCGGUAAUACGAAGGGACCUAGCGUAGUUCGGAAUUACUGGGCGUAAAGCGCGCGUAGGCCGUUGAGUUAGUUAAUUGUGAAAUCCCAAAGCUUAACUUUGGAACUGCAAUUAAAACUGCUCGACUAGAGUUUGAUAGAGGAAAGCGGAAUACAUAGUGUAGAGGUGAAAUUCGUAGAUAUUAUGUAGAACACCAGUUGCGAAGGCGGCUUUCUGGAUCAACACUGACGCUGAGGCGCGAAAGUAUGGGUAGCAAAGAGGAUUAGAUACCCUCGUAGUCCAUACCAUAAACGAUGAUUGCUAGAUGUUGGAAAUUUAUUUUCAGUAUCGCAGCUAACGCAUUAAGCAAUCCGCCUGGGGAUACGACCGCAAGGUUAAACUCAAAGGAAUUGACGG